rnacentral:rRNA from 1 species
UACGUUCCCGGGCCUUGUACACACCGCCCGUCACGUCACGAAAGUCGGUAACACCCGAAGCCCAUGGCCCAACCCUUGUGGGGGAGUGGUCGAAGGUGGGACUGGCGAUUGGGACG